GCCGCGGUAGCUCAGUGGUAGAGCGCAGGUCUGAAAAACCUGGCGUCGGGAGUUCGAUUCUCUUCCGCGGCA
rfam:Elusimicrobia bacterium RIFOXYB2_FTLL_48_7 rifoxyb2_full_scaffold_4119, whole genome shotgun sequence.